GCCUGCUGGUGAAUGCUGAUCUCUUCAGAGUGCCCUCUGCAUGGCCACCAAUCUCAGUCUUGAGAGCGUGGUUCGAUUAAACCUAUGAGUGGGUCCAACCUUUCUGAGCAAGACUGAAGGCAAUUCCAAGCCUACUUCCCUGGGAAGCCAGAGGAGGCAGUGAGCACCUGUUUACCCCAGCUGUGAAUUCCUGGGCACCGCAGCAAUGAAUUCAUCUUCUGAUGCCUGAUAAAUGAUUUAUUAGAGUGUGACCUACUCGUCUCAUCACUUUAAGGAGAGCUGGCCCAGGAGGCAGAGGAGAUUUGGAAAGGC